UCUUAUGGAAGAGCAGAGAAAGUGGUUUCUUGAGGUGGAAUCUACUCUUGGUGAUACUGUGAA
rnacentral:pre_miRNA from 1 species